rnacentral:tRNA from 1 species
GCGUCCUUAGUUCAGUUGGUAGAACGCGGGUCUCCAAAACCCGAUGGCGGGGGUUCGAGUCCUCCAGGGCGCG